GACGAACGCUGGCGGCGUGCCUAAUACAUGCAAGUCGAGCGAAGUUUUUCUGGUGCUUGCACUAGAAAAACUUAGCGGCGAACGGGUGAGUAACACGUAAAGAACCUGCCUCAUAGACUGGGACAACUAUUGGAAACGAUAGCUAAUACCGGAUAACAGUAUUUCUCGCAUGAAAGAUAUUUAAAAGUUGGUUAUGCUAACACUAUGAGAUGGCUUUGCGGUGCAUUAGCUAGUUGGUGGGGUAAAGGCCCACCAAGGCGACGAUGCAUAGCCGACCUGAGAGGGUGAUCGGCCACACUGGGACUGAGACACGGCCCAGACUCCUACGGGAGGCAGCAGUAGGGAAUCUUCCGCAAUGGGCGAAAGCCUGACGGAGCAACGCCGCGUGAGUGAAGAAGGAUUUCGGUUCGUAAAGCUCUGUUGUUAGGGAAGAAUGGAUAUGUAGUAACUAUACAUGUAAGAGACGGUACCUAACCAGAAAGCCACGGCUAACUACGUG
rnacentral:rRNA from 1 species